GCAGACUCACUCUGCAUCCAGCCGCAGCCCCAGGCGGGUGCUUUUUCUGUCUGCCACAGGAACUUGCCGGGGGGCUGUGACCUCUGCCCUGUUAAGGGCAGCGCAGCUACCCCGGUACAUGAGU
rnacentral:snoRNA from 1 species